UGGGGGACAAAUGAAAAUUCUUCUCUGAAAAGACAGCACACUAAUAAUGAGCCUUCAGUAAGAUUUUCUUCAAUAUCUUAAUUCUUAUCCACAGGAGAUCAAAUCUCUAUAAUUAAGUUGAAGCAUCUUUUGUCUAAAUGAAGUCAUAAAAUUUGAUCAAAUAAGGAUAAGAAAAUUUGUCCAAAUGAGAUAUCUAUUUGCAAAAACUCAAGUUUCGACUUGAGAU
rnacentral:lncRNA from 1 species